GAAUGUGCCAGGGUCAAGUCUGUACUGAUUUUCAUGGUGAAUAGAUUACAUGCUUGCAUUCAUGUUCACUUCCGAAGCGCUUAGUGUCUUCCUUCCCUUACUUACAUAUUAACCUCAAAUACCCUAUGCGGCUUUAUCCAAGCUUUACUAGAGGUAGUUAACAAUAUUGGAUUCCC
rfam:Tinamus guttatus contig3967, whole genome shotgun sequence.